rnacentral:pre_miRNA from 1 species
CCAUAUUCAGGUAAUAAAAUUAUAUUUGAUUCACGUAGAGAUUGAGAUCUAUCUUGUGCGUGAUAUCAAGUAUAAUAAUGUUCUGACUCUUCAUCU